UACGAGUGCUUCAAGCGUUAUCCGGAAUCAUUGGGCGUAAAGGGAGCGUAGGCGGUUCGGCAAGUCUCUAGUGAAAUCUCUGGGCUCAACCCAGAGUCUGCUGGGGAAACUGCCGGGCUUGAGUAUGGGAGAGGUGAGUGGAAUUCCCGGUGUAGUGGUGAAAUGCGUAGAGAUCCGGAGGAACACCAGUGGCGAAGGCGACACGCUGGGCCGUACCUGACACUGAUGC
rnacentral:rRNA from 1 species